rnacentral:sRNA from 1 species
GCUGGGUGUGGUGACACAUGCCUGUAAUCCCAGCAGUUCAGGAGGCUGAGGCAGGAGGAUCACGCGUUCAAAGCCAACCUCAGUGACUUAGGCCCUGAGCAACUUAAUGAGACCCUGUCUCAA